GUAGUCAAGCACUUUAUCAUGUUUCAAUUAGGUAGUCGAGCAUCGUAAUAAAAUUGGAGGGACAAAGUUGGGAUUUACAUUACUCUCUUUUUAUAAAUGAGAUUCACAGAAGGUAAAUAAAAAAGCAAGUGAAACACUAUUUCCGGAAUGUACUAAAUAAAGCAGACGUGCCCUAACUCCUCCAUUUUGGUACCAAAUACUUGCCUCAUAUGCACUUAAAGGAUUGAGCCGAAACCUACUGAAGACACCUCUCAACGUGGCAACCGCCGCCCCGACAACAGUUCUCGCUCCGGACGUGGUAACCACAGUGCACCUCAGUCUGGAGCUCCCAUCGCUCCUUCAUCUUGGUCUCCUCCUCCUUGGCAACAAUAACAGCAGUACCCAACCUGACAACCAUGGGGUUGGACUCCACCACCAUGGACUAUGCCACCGUGUUCGUAUCCCACCUCUCAGUGGACACGCCAUGUCGGUCCUCCUAAGCAGCCAGGCAUUCUAGGACAGCGUCUUCAGGUGUAUGCAACUUCUUCCUCAUCUCAGAUACCGAUAGAUAUUGAGACCGCAAUGCACAUCAUGUCACUCCACACUCCUGACAAUCAGUGGUACAUGGACACGGACGCAACAUCUCACACAGUCGCAUCACAAGACUGGGAUCACCCUUCUCAGAUGCGACAGUCGUGGAGAUCUUUAUCCAGUUACCACUUCUCCCAAUUUUGCCGGUCUCACAUCCAGUCUUUGGCAUAGUCGUCUUGGUCAUCCUGGCGUGUCUGUUUUGAAUCCCUUCGCAAAAAUAAGUUCAUAUGUUGUGAACCUUUUAAUUCUUCUGUCGUUUAUGACUAUUGUGUUUUAGAAAACAGGUUAAAUUGCCAUUUUUUGAUUCUCAAACUACGACUUUGAUGCCUUUUGACAUUUUACAUGGUGAUUUAUGGACGUCUCCAAUUUAAGUUUUGCUGAUCAUAAAUAUUAUGUCUUAUUUUUAGAUGAUUUUACAAACUUCUUGUGGACUUUUCCUAUUAGCAGAAAAUCUCAUGUGUUUGAAACGUUCAAGUCACUUACUCAACUCAUUCAAACUUAAUUUUUGCAAAAACUCAAAACAAUUCAAUGUGACAAUGACGGUGAAUAUAAUAAUGAACUUUUUCAAAAAUAUUGCAUAGAUCAUGGUCUAGUUUUUCGUUUCUCUUGUCCCCACACAUCCUCACAAAAUGGGAAAGCGGAACGCAAAAUAAGAACCAUUAAUAAUAUGAUACACACUAUGCUAGCUCAUUGUUUUGGCAUCAUGCUCUCCACAUGACAACUUAACUAUUAAAUAUUAUUCCCUGUAAAACACUUCAUAAUCAAUCACCAACACAACUCAUGUAUCAUCGUGAUCCCACCUAAACACAUCUCAGAGUCUUUAGUUGUCUAUGUUAUCCAUUAUUCCCGUCAUCUACCAUUCAUAAGUUACAACCCCGCUCUACUCCGUGUGUCUUCUUGAGUUAUCCGCCGAAUCAUAGAGGUUAUAAGUGUUUUGAUUUGUCUAAUAGAAAAUUAAUAAUUUCGAGGCAUGUUAUCUUUGAUGAAACUUAAUUUCCCUUCACCAAGAUACACUCCCCUUCACCUCACUCUUAUCAAUUCCCAAAUGAUGAGCUUCACCCCUUACCUUAUACAUCAGUGGCAAAAUCAAAUUUCACCACCUGUUGCACAUAACCAACCAACACCCACAAUCCCAAUUAACCAACCACUACCCUCAAUAAACCAACAAUCAUCAUCUCCUACCUCUUCGAUCAACACACCCAUUACAAUAAA